rnacentral:rRNA from 1 species
GCCUACGGGGGGCAGCAGUGGGGAAUAUUGCACAAUGGGGGAAACCCUGAUGCAGCAACGCCGCGUGAGUGAAGAAGUAUUUCGAUAUGUAAAGCUCUAUCAGCAGGGAAGAAGAUGACGGUACCUGAGUAAGAAGCCCCGGCUAACUACGUGCCAGCAGCCGCGGUAAUACGUAGGGGGCAAGCGUUAUCCGGAUUUACUGGGUGUAAAGGGAGCGUAGACGGCAUAGCAAGUCUGAAGUGAAAGCCCAAGGCUCAACC